rnacentral:rRNA from 1 species
AGAGUUUGAUCCUGGCUCAGGAUGAACGCUAGCGGCAGGCUUAAUACAUGCAAGUCGUGGGGCAGCAGGGGCGUAGCAAUACGCUCGCUGGCGACCGGCAAACGGGUGCGGAACACGUACACAACCUUCCUUAAAGUGGGGGAUAGCCCGGGGAAACCCGGAUUAAUACCCCGUAACAUAGUGAAGUGGCAUCGCUUUAUUAUUAUAGCAGCAAUGCGCUUAAAGAUGGGUGUGCGACUGAUUAGGCAGUUGGCGGGGUAACGGCCCACCAAACCUACGAUCAGUAACUGGUGUGAGAGCACGACCAGUCACACGGGCACUGAGACACGGGCCCGACUCCUACGGGAGGCAGCAGUAAGGAAUAUUGGUCAAUGGACGCAAGUCUGAACCAGCCAUGCCGCGUGGAGGAUGAAGGUCCUCUGGAUUGUAAACUUCUUUUACCUGGGAAGAAACCCACAAAUUCUUUUGUGGUUGACGGUACCAGGUGAAUAAGCACCGGCUAACUCCGUGCCAGCAGCCGCGGUAAUACGGAGGGUGCAAGCGUUAUCCGGAUUCACUGGGUUUAAAGGGUGCGUAGGUGGGUUGGU